UACGUAGGGGGCAAGCGUUGUCCGGAUUUAUUGGGCGUAAAGAGCGUGUAGGCGGCCUUGCAAGUCCGUUGUGAAAACUCGAGGCUCAACCUCGAGACGCCGGUGGAAACUGCAAAGCUAGAGUCCGGAAGAGGAGAGUGGAAUUCCUGGUGUAGCGGUGAAAUGCGCAGAUAUCAGGAGGAACACCCGUGGCGAAGGCGGCUCUCUGGGACGGUACUGACGCUGAGGCGCGAAAGCGUGGGGAGCAAACAGG
rnacentral:rRNA from 1 species